AUACUUACCUGUCAGGGGUAAUAUCACAAUCUUGAAGAUGGUUUGCCUAGGGUGAGGCUUUGUCAUUGCACUUCAGUGGGGUUAACCCCUGUGAUUUGCCCAGAUGUGGGAAACUCAACUGCAUAAUUUACGGUAUGCAAUCUUGGGUAUUGACUAGCACUUCU